GGACCCGCACAAGCAGCGGAGCAUGUGGUUUAAUUCGACGCAACGCGAAGAACCUUACCAGGGCUUGACAUCAAUUGACGGUCUAAGAGAUUAGACCUUCCCCUCACGGGGACAAGAAGACAGGUGGUGCAUGGUUGUCGUCAGCUCGUGUCGUGAGAUGUUGGGUUAAGUCCCGCAACGAGCGCAACCCUUAUAUACAGUUGCCAAUAUUCAGUUAGGAACUCUGUAUAGACUGCCGUGGUUAACACGGAGGAAGGUGGGGAUGACGUCAAAUCAUCACGCCCCUUACGUCCUGGGCCACACACGUGCUACAAUGGCUAUUACAAAGAGCAGCAAGACAGCAAUGUUAAGCGAAUCUCAAAAAGAUAGUCUCAGUUCAGAUUGUGGGCUGCAACUCGCCCACAUGAAGUCGGAGUUGCUAGUAAUCCCAAAUCAGAAUGUUGGGGUGAAUGCGUUCCCGGGUCUU
rnacentral:rRNA from 1 species